rnacentral:rRNA from 1 species
AUGGGAACGCGAAGAACCUUACCUACUCUUGACAUCCAGAGAACUUAGCAGAGAUGCUUUGGUGCCUUCGGGAACUCUGAGACAGGUGCUGCAUGGCUGUCGUCAGCUCGUGUUGUGAAAUGUUGGGUUAAGUCCCGCAACGAGCGCAACCCUUAUCCUUUGUUGCCAGCGGUUAGGCCGGGAACUCAAAGGAGACUGCCAGUGAUAAACUGGAGGAAGGUGGGGAUGACGUCAAGUCAUCAUGGCCCUUACGAGUAGGGCUACACACGUGCUACAAUGGCGCAUACAAAGAGAAGCGGCCUCGCGAGAGCAAGCGGACCUCAUAAAGUGCGUCGUAGUCCGGAUUGGAGUCUGCAACUCGACUCCAUGAAGUCGGAAUCGCUAGUAAUCGUAGAUCAGAAUGCUACGGUGAAUACGUUCCCGGGUCUUGUACACACCG